rnacentral:rRNA from 1 species
UGGGUGGAUCAGUGGCGGACUGGUGAGUAACACGUAUGUGACCUGCCCCAAAGAGGAGAUAACUUGACGAAAGUGAAGCUAAUACUCCAUGUGGUCAAUCAUUCGGUUGAUUGAUUAAAGCUAAGGCGCUUUGGGAGGGGCUUGCGGCCCAUCAGCUAGUUGGUAGGGUAAAGGCCUACCAAGGCGAAGACGGGUAGCUGGUCUGAGAGGACGAUCAGCCACAAUGGCACUAGAAACACGGGCCAUACUCCUACGGGAGGCAGCAGUGAGGAAUAUUGCACAAUCGACGCAAGUCGGAUAGCAGCAACGCCGCGUAGGACGAUGAAGGCCUUCGGGUAGUAAAGUCCUUUUAAGAGGGACGAGGAAGGACGGUACCUCUUGAAUAAGUCUCGGCUAACUACGUAGCCAGCAGCCGCGGUAACACGUAGGAGGCGAGCGUUAUCCGGAUUUAUUGGGCGUAAAAGCGCAUGCAGGUAGGCUAGGUAAGUCGGGUGUGAAAGCCCCGGACUUAAUCCGGGGAGGUCAUUCGAUACUGCUUGGCUUGAGAGCGGGAGAGGGAAGUGGAAUUCUCGGUGUAGUGGUGAUAUGCGUAGAUAUCGAGAGGAACACCAGUGGCGAAGGCGGCUUCCUGGCCCGUAUCUGACACUAAGAUGCGAAAGCGUAGGUAGCAAACGGACUUAGAUACUCCGGUAGUCCACGCUGUAAACGAUGGGUACUAGGUGUACGGGGGUGUAAAACUCUCUGUGCCAUAGUUAACGCACUAAGUACCCCGCCUGGGGACUACGGUCGCAAGGCUAUAACUCAAAGGAAUUGACGGGGGCCCGCACAAGCAACUGAGCGUGUGGUUCAAUUCGAAGAUACACGUAGAACCUUACCUGGGCUUGACAUG